rnacentral:rRNA from 1 species
GAUGAACGCUGGCGGCGUGCCUAAUACAUGCAAGUCGAGCGAACAGACGAGGAGCUUGCUCCUCUGACGUUAGCGGCGGACGGGUGAGUAACACGUGGAUAACCUACCUAUAAGACUGGGAUAACUUCGGGAAACCGGAGCUAAUACCGGAUAAUAUAUUGAACCGCAUGGUUCAAUAGUGAAAGACGGUUUUGCUGUCACUUAUAGAUGGAUCCGCGCCGCAUUAGCUAGUUGGUAAGGUAACGGCUUACCAAGGCAACGAUGCGUAGCCGACCUGAGAGGGGGUUCGGCGACACUGGAACUGAGACACGGUCCAGACUCCGACGGGAGGCAGCAGUAGGGAAUUUUCGGCGACGGGCGAAAGCCUGACGGAGCAACGCCGCGUGAGUGAUGAAGGUCUUCGGGUCGUAAAACUCUGUUAUUAGGGAAGAACAAAUGUGUAAGUAACUAUGCACGUAUUGACGGUACCUAAUCAGAAAGCCACGGCUAACUACGUG